rnacentral:rRNA from 1 species
CCUACGGGAGGCAGCAGUGAGGAAUAUUGGUCAAUGGACGAGAGUCUGAACCAGCCAAGUAGCGUGAAGGAUGACUGCCCUAUGGGUUGUAAACUUCUUUUAUAUGGGAAUAAAAUGUUCCACGUGUGGGAUUUUGUAUGUACCAUAUGAAUAAGGAUCGGCUAACUCCGUGCCAGCAGCCGCGGUAAUACGGAGGAUCCGAGCGUUAUCCGGAUUUAUUGGGUUUAAAGGGUGCGUAGGUGGAUUGUUAAGUCAGUUGUGAAAGUUUGCGGCUCAACCGUAAAAUUGCAGUUGAAACUGGCAGUCUUGAGUACAGUAGAGGUAGGCGGAAUUCGUGGUGUAGCGGUGAAAUGCUUAGAUAUCACAAAGAACUCCGAUUGCGAAGGCAGUUCACUGAACUGCAACUGACACUGAGGCUCGAAAGUGUGGGUAUCAAACAGGAUUAGAUACCCGAGUAGUC